rnacentral:rRNA from 1 species
AUGGCGGGUGCGGCGAAGGCGUCUUGGAUGGUGGCGAUGAGUGUGGGCGCCGUGGAGGCCCUCAAGGACCAGGUCGGCCUCUGCCGCUGGAACUACGCCCUCAAAUCCAUCCACCGGGCAGCCAACGUCCGCGGCGGCGUCUUGCAGGGCGCCAAGCAGCUUCCGGCCUCUGCUGAGGCGGCGGCCGAGAAGCGGCGAGGGGAGAAGGCCGAGGAAGGGCUGAGGACGGUGAUGUACCUCAGCUGCUGGGGUCCCAAUUAG